UUUUUUCUCGAAAGUAAAAGAUCUAAUUAAUUAUAUAAGUUUUUGUGUCAAAAAAAUUUAAAAUAUUUAUUUAGGUGUAAAAUGUUAAUCGUUUUUACUAAUAUCUAGUAACUUUAGAAAGAAAUUUAGUUUAAAUCAUUAGUGAGGAUCUUUAUUUUAAAGUGAUUUUAGUUAUGAUUUUAUAUUUUAGGGGAUGAGCUCUAAAAUAAAUAUAAAAGAAUUAAUCAGAUUUAAUUUUUAGUAGGCUUAGAAUUUGCCAUAAGAUAGUGUUAUAAGAUAAAAAUUAAAGUUUACGAUUUAUUUUUCUUUUGUUUCUAUAAAGUUUAUAAAAAAAUAGUUUUAUAAUUGAAAAUAUGAUAGUAUAAGUAGAUAAAGAAAAUUUGGAAGUGAAAAUAAAUUUUUCUUUGAAAUUUUUUGUAUAAUUUAUAAUAAAAGAACUCGGCAAAAAAGAUUUCCGAAUGUUUAACAAAAACAUUUCCUCUUGAGAAAGGGAGGUAAGACCUGCUCACUGAAAUUUAAAGAGCCGCAGUAUUCUGACUGUGCUAAGGUAGCAUAAUCAUUAGUCUUUUAAUUGGAGACUGGUAUGAAUGGUUAAACGAGAAAUCAGCUUUUUUUGUUAUAGAAAUUGAAUUUUAUUUUUUAGUGAAAAAGCUAAAAUCAUUCAGAAAGACGAGAAGACCCUAUAGAGUUUUAUACUUUUUUUAACUUUUUUUUACUAGAUUUUUUUGAAUUGAGUUAUAAAUGAGUAUUUUGUUGGGGCGACAUUAAGAUAAAAAAAACUCUUUAUUUUUUUAACUUUAAUAAAAGAAUUAAUUGAUCCUUUAAAAGAGAUCAUAAGAAAAAAUUACCUUAGGGAUAACAGCGUAAUCUUUUUUGAGAGUUCUAAUCGACAAAAAGGUUUGCGACCUCGAUGUUGGACUAAAAUUUAGACA
rnacentral:rRNA from 1 species